rnacentral:rRNA from 1 species
AACGAACGCUGGCGGCAGGCUUAACACAUGCAAGUCGAACGAUGAAGCCGGAGCUUGCUCUGGUGAAUUAGUGGCGAACGGGUGAGUAACACGUGAGUAACCUGCCCUUGACUCUGGGAUAACUGCGGGAAACUGUAGCUAAUACCGGAUACGACCCUCGGAGGCAUCUCCUGGGGGUGGAAAGAAUUUCGGUCAAGGAUGGACUCGCGGCCUAUCAGCUAGUUGGUGAGGUAAAGGCUCACCAAGGCGACGACGGGUAGCCGGCCUGAGAGGGGGACCGGCCACACUGGGACUGAGACACGGCCCAGACUCCUACGGGAGGCAGCAGUGGGGAAUAUUGCACAAUGGGCGCAAGCCUGAUGAAGCAACGCCGCGUGAGGGAUGACGGCCUUCGGGUUGUAACCCUCUUUUAGCAGGGAAGAAGCGAAAGUGACGGUACCUGCAGAAAAAGCACCGGCUAACUACGUGCCAGCAGCCGCCGUAA